GUAACGAUAAAGCGGGUGAAAAGCCCGCUCGCCGGAAGACCAAGGGUUCCUGUCCAACGUUAAUCGGGGCAGGGUGAGUCGACCCCUAAGGCGAGGCCGAAAGGCGUAGUCGAUGGGNAAACAGGUUAAUAUUCCUGUACUUGGUGUUACUGCGAAGGGGGGACGGAGAAGGCUAUGUUAGCCGGGCGACGGUUGUCCCGGUUUAAGCAUGUAGGCUGGUUAUCCAGGCAAAUCCGGAUAACCAAGGCUGAGGUGNUGAUGACGAGGCACUACGGUGCUGAAGUAACAAAUGCCCUGCUUCCAGGAAAAGCCUCUAAGCAUCAGGUAACNAUCAAAUCGUACCCCAAACCGACACAGGUGGUCAGGUAGAGAAUACCAAGGCGCUUGAGAGAACUCGGGUGAAGGAACUAGGCAAAAUGGUGCCGUAACUUCGGGAGAAGGCACGCUGGUGUGUAGGUGAAGU
rnacentral:rRNA from 1 species